UACGAAGGGGGCUAGCGUUGUUCGGAAUUACUGGGCGUAAAGCGCACGUAGGCGGAUCGAUCAGUCAGGGGUGAAAUCCUAGAGCUCAACUCUGGAACUGCCUUUGAUACUGUCGAUCUAGAGUAUGGAAGAGGUGAGUGGAAUUCCGAGUGUAGAGGUGAAAUUCGUAGAUAUUCGGAGGAACACCAGUGGCGAAGGCGGCUCACUGGUCCAUUACUGACGCUGAGGUGCGAAAGCGUGGGGAGCAAACAGG
rnacentral:rRNA from 1 species